CAAGCCCCGCUCCCCGUUCCAGCCCAGCGAGGCACCUGCUUUUCUGGCCCAACCAGACUCCACGGCAGCCAGGUCGGGAGUCUGGGUGUGAUGGUAUGAGCACACGGUGCCCUUCCCUGAAGCUCCCGCCUGCUCACAGCUCAGUCUUGUCCUGCUCCCGGAGCCUGCCGGCACCCUCGAGAGUGGAGCAGGACGUGGGAAGGGAGAAGUCGUGGCUGAGCAGGGCUGGAGAGAUGCAGCUCUACAAGGACAUCCAUCUCCUGCACUGCCCAUUCCCGAGCCAAAGGGGCUGAGCUAGUCAGAGCCUUCCCAGCCCCGGAGAGGUGCUUGCUGCUGAGGAACUGCUUACUUUGGCCUCAACUGAGAGGCCUCAGCCCAGGGUAAAGCAGCCCCAAACACUGCCCUGUUUGUGCUUCGGGAAGGGGCGUUUGUGGCUGUCCUGUCACGGUGGGAGCAGGCGAAAGAGCUGAAGGUUGUUUUCACCCCAGUGCCUGCCACAGGGGAUUCUCCAAACAGGAUCCCACCUCAUCCAGAUACGUGCAGAGCAGCAGGUCAGAUUCCCUGGAUCAGGUCUGUGUUCUGGUCCCAGGGAAUCCUGGGCCACCAGCAGUGUGUGAGCCAGGAGGUGCAUCCCCUGUGCAGCGAUGUCCUUGCUGUGGGCAGCCCGUGACACCGAGGGAUGCUCCUGGGCCCCUCCGGCACAGCUCCUGCUCACAGCCUCACCACCCAGCCCCCUGAGCCCUCCUGUCCUCCACAGCAUCUUCCACCGCCCAGGAAACCUUCUUGCAAGCUCAGGCUGGACAUUAUGGAAGCACUAGAAGCUCCUGGUAGGAAUGUCACUGGUAUCAGUAUCCAAGCUCCCUGUCCCAGGGCACAACCUGCCCUAUGGAGAGGAUCCUGCCCCAGGAUGCAAGCUGGAAAUUUGCUGCAGACCCCAUAGAUGCAUCCCCAGGUGGAUGGCCCCUACUCAGGACAGAGAGGACCUAAAUGCUGGCAGUGGCCUCUGCACUGGUGUCACAGCACUGAGCCGAGAUGCUGCUGAAGG